UACGGAGGGGGCUAGCGUUGUUCGGAAUUACUGGGCGUAAAGCGCACGUAGGCGGCUUUGCAAGUCAGAGGUGAAAGCCCGGGGCUCAACCCCGGAAUUGCCUUUGAGACUGCAUCGCUAGAAUUGUGGAGAGGUAAGUGGAAUUCCGAGUGUAGAGGUGAAAUUCGUAGAUAUUCGGAAGAACACCAGUGGCGAAGGCGACUUACUGGACACAUAUUGACGCUGAGGUGCGAAAGCGUGGGGAGCAAACAGGG
rnacentral:rRNA from 1 species